rnacentral:snRNA from 1 species
AGUUUGGAGGCUAUAAAUACCU